GAUCCUGGCUCAGGACGAACGCUGGCGGCAUGCCUAACACAUGCAAGUCGAACGGAGAUAUUUGGAAGCUUGCUUCUGGAUAUCUUAGUGGCGGACGGGCGAGUAACGCGUGAGCAACCUGGCCUUCAGAGUGGAACAACGUCUGGAAACGGGCGCUAAUACCGCAUAAUACAAGAGAGUCGCAUGGCUUUUUUGUCAAAGGAGAAAUCCACUGAAGGAUGGGCUCGCGUCCGA
rnacentral:rRNA from 1 species